GUGUGUAUUAAAUCAGUUUUGUAUUUGGAUUUUAAGGUAAACUGUUUAUGGUUGUUUAUCUCUGAGAAUAUGAAUGAAUUUAAAAGUUUUGUUUUAAAAAUCUUUUGAGGGGCUGGGAAUAUGGCCUACAAGCCCUGGGUUCAAUUCCUCAGCACCACAUAUACAGAAAA